UACAGAGGUGGCGAGCGUUAUUCGGAAUUAUUGGGCGUAAAGGGCGCGUAGGCGGCUAGGCAAGUCCUGGGUGAAAUCCCUCGGCUCAACCGAGGAACUGCCUUGGAAACUGCCUGGCUCGAGGCCGGGAGAGGGUAGCGGAAUUCCCAGUGUAGCGGUGAAAUGCGUAGAUACUGGGAGGAACACCAGUGGCGAAGGCGACUCACUGGCCCGAUACUGACGCUGAGGUGCGAAAGCGUGGGGAGCGAACCGG
rnacentral:rRNA from 1 species